UACAGAGGGUGCGAGCGUUAAUCGGAAUUACUGGGCGUAAAGCGUGCGUAGACGGUUAUUUAAGUCGGAUGUGAAAGCCCCGGGCUCAACCUGGGAAUUGCAUUCGAGACUGAAUAGCUAGGGUACGAUAGAGGGAAGUGGAAUUUCCGGUGUAGCGGUGAAAUGCGUAGAUAUCGGAAGGAACAUCAGUGGCGAAAGCGACUUCCUGGACCAGUACCGACGUUCAGGCACGAAAGCGUGGGGAGCAAACAGG
rnacentral:rRNA from 1 species